rnacentral:rRNA from 1 species
GAGUUUGAUCUUGGCUCAGGAUGAACGCUAGCGGCAGGCUUAAUACAUGCAAGUCGUGGGGCAGCAUGAGUGUAGCAAUACAUUUGAUGGCGACCGGCAAACGGGUGCGGAACACGUACACAACCUUCCUUUAAGUGGGGGAUAGCCCAGGGAAACUUGGAUUAAUACCCCGUAAUAUAUAGAAGCGGCAUCGCUUUUAUAUUAUAGCAGCAAUGCGCUUGAAGAUGGGUGUGCGGCUGAUUAGAUAGUUGGCGGGGUAACGGCCCACCAAGUCGACGAUCAGUAACUGGUGUGAGAGCACGACCAGUCACACGGGCACUGAGACACGGGCCCGACUCCUACGGGAGGCAGCAGUAAGGAAUAUUGGUCAAUGGACGAAAGUCUGAACCAGCCAUGCCGCGUGGAGGAUGAAGGUCCUCUGGAUUGUAAACUUCUUUUAUAU